UACGUAGGGGGCAAGCGUUGUCCGGAAUCAUUGGGCGUAAAGCGCGCGUAGGCGGCCCUGUAAGUCCGUUGUGAAAGUCGAAGGCUCAACCUUCGAAAGCCGGUUGAUACUGUCGGGCUAGAGUCCGGAAGAGGCGAGUGGAAUUCCCGGUGUAGCGGUGAAAUGCGCAGAUAUCGGGAGGAACACCAAUGGCGAAGGCAGCUCGCUGGGACGUUACUGACGCUGAGACACGAAAGCCAGGGGAGCAAAGCGGGG
rnacentral:rRNA from 1 species